UGGGGAUAUAACUCAGUUGGUAGAGUGCUUGCCUUACAAGCAUAAGGCCCAGGGUUCAAUCCCCUGUACCACAA